rnacentral:rRNA from 1 species
UACGUAGGGUGCAAGCGUUAAUCGGAAUUACUGGGCGUAAAGCGUGCGCAGGCGGUUGUGCAAGACAGAUGUGAAAUCCCCGGGCUCAACCUGGGAAUUGCAUUUGUGACUGCACGGCUAGAGUGUGUCAGAGGGGGGUAGAAUUCCACGUGUAGCAGUGAAAUGCGUAGAGAUGUGGAGGAAUACCGAUGGCGAAGGCAGCCCCCUGGGAUAACACUGACGCUCAUGCACGAAAGGCGUGGGGGAGCAAACAGG